rnacentral:rRNA from 1 species
GACGAACCGAGCGAACGUUGUUCGGAAUCACUGGGCUUAAAGGGCGCGUAGGCGGGUGCUCAAGUCCGUGGUGAAAUCCUCCGGCUCAACCGGAGAACUGCCUCGGAUACUGGGUGCCUCGAGGGUGGUAGGGGUAUGCGGAACUAUCGGUGGAGCGGUGAAAUGCGUUGAUAUCGAUAGGAACUCCGGUGGCGAAGGCGGCUCUCUGGACCACUACUGACGCUGAGGCGCGAAAGCUAGGGGAGCAAACAGG